CUGUUUGUAUCCCCAAAACUUCGUACAACGACGUCGGAGUUCCAAUUGUAGAGGUAGUACUAGUACUACUAGUAGUAGCUCUGUCUGCGGUGGUGUACGCGGCGGAGACUGAGAAUGGACGGCUGUGGAAGGUGACGGAGCACGGCGGUGGAGAGGCGGAGGAGAGUUUGGAGCUGGUGAUUGAAGUGGAGAGAAGAAAAGAAGAAGAAGAAGAAGAAGCCAUGGACUUGAAGUGUUUGUUCUAGAAUAAUUUGGGUAGUUAAUUGGAGAAAAAGGAUAGCGUGUGAA
rnacentral:lncRNA from 1 species